rnacentral:rRNA from 1 species
GUAGGUGGCAAGCGUUGUCCGGAUUUAUUGGGUUUAAAGGGUGCGUAGGCGGUCUAUUAAGUCAGUUGUGAAAUACGGCAGCUCAACUGUCGAGGUGCAAUUGAUACUGAUGGACUUGAGUACUGAUGAGGUAAGCGGAAUGGACGGUGUAGCGGUGAAAUGCUUAGAUAUCGUCCAGAACACCGAUAGCGAAGGCAGCUUACUAAGGAGUAACUGACGCUGAGGCACGAAAGUGUGGGGAUCAAACAGGAUUAGAUACCCUGGUAGUCCACACUGUAAACGAUGAUCACUCGAUGUUGGCGAUACACAGCCAGCGUCUUAGCAAAAGCGAUAAGUGAUCCACCUGGGGAGUACGCCGGCAACGGUG